GUAGUUACUAACACCACUUUCUUAAGUUUUUGUCAAAAAUCUUUUCAAAAAUAAUUUUAUUGAGUCAAGAAGGGGAUUAUGAACUAAUGAUUUCUACUUGAAUGUCUAACCACUUUCUAGCACCAUUCUAGAUUUACUGACUGCAGGUAAUACUAUAGAUGCUAAAGUGGAUCAACCAGUCAACUAUACACACUUGCUAGCUUGUUACAAAGAACCGAAGCUAACCUCCAACACUAACCUGACUUCACUGCUUGUCUUGGGGCUUGGUAUACAUGGGAUCGGUUUUUUCAGACAAGGCUAGAAGGUAACGCCUGGUUUAGAUUAUUUAUCACAUUUUCUCUCUCUAAAUUUCGACUCUAGAUUAGUUAGUGAGUACACAAAAAAUAAAAAUAAAAAUAAAUAAAAUGAAAUAAAAAUAAAAUAAAUAUAUAUAUAUAUAAGAUCUAUUGUUUAAUUAGGAUGAGUCUGAACAGGACUUGGUGGCUAAAACCAUUACGGCUUGAUUCAUAAAAGACUCCAAUAAAAGAGUUCGAAACAGGACUUGGAGGCGGCAAUCUUCAAAGCUCGCUUUCGCAAAGAACUCUUGGAUAUAAGUCAAAAAGAAGUGAACAGAACUUGGUGGCAACCACCAUUAAGUUUUGAUUCAUGGAAGCCUGUCCAAUCUUGGUCACAGAUCCUGCAAUGGAAGCAGACUUCGACUUAAGAGAGAAAUUUAGAGAGAGAGAAACUAGGAACUAACUUUUACCUGCAGCUCCAGAUACUUGUCUGAAAUCCUUGCAUCCUGUGAUCGAUACUCCCAAGGUAAAGCCUACACUUUUUACAUUAA
rnacentral:lncRNA from 1 species